AGCAUAUCAAUAAGCGGAGGAAAAGAAACUAACAAGGAUUCCCCUAGUAACUGCGAGUGAAGCGGGAAGAGCUCAAAUUUAAAAUCUGGCAGUCUUUGAUUGCCCGAGUUGUAGCCUAGAGAAGUGUCUUCCGCGCUGGACCGUGUACAAGUCUCUUGGAACAGAGCAUCAUAGAGGGUGAGAAUCCCGUCUUUGACACGGACUACCAGUGCUUUGUGAUGCGCUCUCAAAGAGUCGAGUUGUUUGGGAAUGCAGCUCAAAAUGGGUGGUAAAUUCCAUCUAAAGCUAAAUAUUGGCGAGAGACCGAUAGCGAACAAGUACCGUGAGGGAAAGAUGAAAAGCACUUUGGAAAGAGAGUUAAACAGUACGUGAAAUUGCUGAAAGGGAAACGCUUGAAGUCAGUCGUGUCAGUCAGAACUCAGCCUUGCUUUUGCUUGGUGCAUUUUCUGAUUGAUAGGCCAGCAUCAGUUUUGGUCAUAGGAGAAAGGUCAGAGAAAUGUGGCACCCUCGGGUGUGUUAUAGUCUUCGAUUGUAUACUAUGACUGAGACUGAGGAACUCAGCACGCGCAAGCUGUGCUUAGGAUGUUGGCGUAAUGGCUUUAAACGACCCGUCUUGAAACACGGACCAAGGAGUCUAACAUACCUGCGAGUGUUUGAGUGGCAAACUCGAGCGCGUAAUGAAAGUGAAAGUUGGGAUCUCUGUCGUAGAGAGCACCGACGCCCGGACCAGACCUUCUGUGACGGAUCUGAGGUAGAGCAUGUAUGUUGGGACCCGAAAGAUGGUGAACUAUGCCUGAAUAGGGUGAAGCCAGAGGAAACUCUGGUGGAGGCUCGUAGCGAUUCUGACGUGCAAAUCGAUCGUCAAAUUUGGGUAUAGGGGCGAAAGACUAAUCGAACCAUCUAGUAGCUGGUUCCUGC
rnacentral:rRNA from 1 species